rnacentral:tRNA from 1 species
GAGGGUAUAGCUCAGAGGUAGAGCAUGUGCUUAGCAUGCACAAGGUCCUAGGUUCAAACCCCAGUACCUUCA